GGCUGAUGCAGAAUAGGGGUAGCACUCUAGCACGCUCCAGUAGGAAGAGAAGAAAAACAAAUAUUUCACAAGGACAGUAGCUGAUAGCCCUGUAUGGUGACGUCCUGUGGAAGAAGGUCUUAUGCAUCUUUGCAUUCCCGGCAAGUUGAGCACAAGCCCUUGUAUAUGACAGGUAUAUACUUGGACCGAAAGUAUCUGGAACUUCAUUUCUUAGCUAAGCUUGGCUACUAGAGUUUCAACCUUCAGAUUGUACCUGCCUUUCAGGUCACAGCACCAGAAGUCCUGUUUGGAAAGAGAAAGUCGUGGUGCACGGUAUUACCUGCAGAUUUCUGAGAAGCUCUGCAAUUUGAAAUUUUUGGUGGAAUUUUGAUAAUUGGAUACUAAAGAUGCAUUGGACCCAAGGGCUCCCUUUAGUCUGUGUUAUAAACUGUCUUUCCCAGCCGUGCAAGUUGGGAGCCCAGUGAGA
rnacentral:lncRNA from 1 species